rfam:Camelus ferus isolate Naran unplaced genomic scaffold scaffold78418, whole genome shotgun sequence.
CAAACGGCUCUUUUCAGAGCCACUUCUAUCGUCAUAAAAAAAGGUG